GACGAACGCUGGCGGCGUUCCUAAUACAUGCAAGUAGAACGCAGUUGCUAACGGGUGAGUAACGCGUAGGUAACUGCCUCAUAGCGGGGGAUAACUAUUGGAAACGAUAGCCAAUACCGCAUACUUUUAGAUGGACCUGCGUUGUAUUAUCUAGUUGGUGAGGUAAAGGCUCACCAAGGCGACGAUACAUAGCCGAGCUGAGAGGGUGAUCGGCAAAACUGGGAGUGAGAAAGGGCCCAGACUCCUACGGGAGGCAGCAGGAGGGAAUAUUCGGAAAUGGACGGAAGUCUGACCGAGCAACGCCGCGUGAGUGAAGAAGGUUUUCGGAUCGUAAAACUCUGUUGUUAGAGAAGCGGUAUCUAACCAGAAAGCCACGGCUAACUACGUGCCAGCAGCCGCGGUAAUAC
rnacentral:rRNA from 1 species